rnacentral:rRNA from 1 species
GACAGAGGGUGCAAACGUUGUUCGGAAUUACUGGGCGUAAAGCGCACGUAGGCGGCUUUGUAAGUUAGAGGUGAAAGCCCGGGGCUCAACCCCGGAAUUGCCUUUAAGACUGCAUCGCUUGAAUCCGGGAGAGGUGAGUGGAAUUCCGAGUGUAGAGGUGAAAUUCGUAGAUAUUCGGAAGAACACCAGUGGCGAAGGCGGCUCACUGGACCGGUAUUGACGCUGAGGUGCGAAAGCGUGGGGAGCAAACAGG